GACGAACGCUGGCGGCGUGCCUAAUACAUGCAAGUAGAACGCUGAAGGAAGGAGCUUGCUCUUUCCGGAUGAGUUGCGAACGGGUGAGUAACGCGUAGGUAACCUGCCUGGUAGCGGGGGAUAACUAUUGGAAACGAUAGCUAAUACCGCAUAACAGUAGAUAUCGCAUGAUAGCUACUUGAAAGGUGCAAUUGCAUCACUACCAGAUGGACCUGCGUUGUAUUAGCUAGUUGGUGAGGUAACGGCUCACCAAGGCAACGAUACAUAGCCGACCUGAGAGGGUGAUCGGCCACACUGGGACUGAGACACGGCCCAGACUCCUACGGGAGGCAGCAGUAGGGAAUCUUCGGCAAUGGACGGAAGUCUGACCGAGCAACGCCGCGUGAGUGAAGAAGGUUUUCGGAUCGUAAAGCUCUGUUGUAAGAGAAGAACGAGUGUGAGAGUGGAAAGUUCACACUGUGACGGUAUCUUACCAGAAGGGGACGGCUAACUACGUGCCAGCAGCCGCGGUAAUACGUAGGUCCCGAGCGUUGUCCGGAUUUAUUGGGCGUAAAGCGAGCGCAGGCGGUUAGAUAAGUCUGAAGUUAAAGGCUGUGACUUAACCAUAGUACGCUUUGGAAACUGUUUAACUUGAGUGCAAGAGGGGAGAGUGGAAUUCCAUGUGUAGCGGUGAAAUGCGUAGAUAUAUGGAGGAACACCGGUGGCGAAAGCGGCUCUCUGGCUUGUAACUGACGCUGAGGCUCGAAAGCGUGGGGAGCAAACAGG
rnacentral:rRNA from 1 species